AAGUCGUAACAAGGUUUCCGUAGGUGAACCUGCGGAAGGAUCAUUAUUGAAUUCCAACGUAAAGGGUUGUUGCUGGCAUAACCUGCAUGUGCACACCCGAUACACUCACACCUGUGCACCUAUCGACCGAAGCCCUUCACCCCGGAGGGUGGACGGUCCUUACUACACACACUGUUAAAUACAUGUUUGAUAUUAUAAAAACAUUAAUGACAACUUUCAACAACGGAUCUCUUGGCUCUC
rnacentral:misc_RNA from 1 species